CUUUUGUUUUAAAUCAUCCAAUUCAUGUAAGACCGAUAGAUAUGACAUCUGCAGCGAGGACACCUCUCGUCUCAGGGUCCGAAUCUCCUGUUUCAACUCCAUCACUUCUCCAUCGUGUUCCUGAAGAAGACCCAAAACGUACUGUUGGAUUUCAUUCGGAAUUUCGCCUUUUACAGCAUCUAAACCACAGAUUGCUAGGAAAUCCAGAAAACGUGGAGAAGGCGCCGUCAAUGGUGACACCAUCGUCAUGGUAAUGAUCAUGGAUUCUGACCAGGAUUCUGUCACCGAUGUCCAAAGCAGCAACGGCCAUAUUAGAACCAGGAGAAUAGAGUGUGUUGUCCCCGGAAUAGAUUCGACAAAGCACGUUGCCGUUUUUCACGAUCUCAGCCUCCAAACUCUUUCCGGGGCUCGUAGUAAUGGUGGCAAACAGAACAUACACCCCUUUAGUGGUUGGAGUAAAGACUCCAGAGGUUUCGUCGUAAGCGUUUCCAUUAUUUAAGAUUGCAAUGUCAAACACAAGUUGUUGAUUGUGUUGGAGAUUAGAAAUAAAUUUGGAAAUGUAUGUGGAGAAGGCUGUUUGAUAGUUUCCGUUCAUAUUGUGAGGAACUAUUCUUCCUGAAAAAGAUAAUAUUUAGUUUAAUGUUAUAACACUUAAUAUGAAUACUCAAUAAAUAUGCACGCCU
rnacentral:sRNA from 1 species